rnacentral:rRNA from 1 species
UACGUAGGGUGCAAGCGUUAAUCGGAAUUACUGGGCGUAAAGCGUGCGCAGGCGGUUGUGCAAGACAGAUGUGAAAUCCCCGGGCUUAACCUGGGAACUGCAUUUGUGACUGUACGGCUGGAGUACGGCAGAGGGGGAUGGAAUUCCGCGUGUAGCAGUGAAAUGCGUAGAGAUGCGGAGGAACACCGAUGGCGAAGGCAGUCCCCUGGGCCUGUACUGACGCUCAUGCACGAAAGCGUGGGGAGCAAACAGG